UACGGGAAAAACAAGCGUUGUUCGGAAUUACUGAGCGUAAAGGGCGCGUAGGCGGUCGGAUAAGUCAGCUGUGAAAACCACGGGCUUAACUCGUGGCCUGCAGUUGAGACUGUCUGACUUGAGUGUAGGAGAGGAAAGUGGAAUUCCUGGUGUAGCGGUGAAAUGCGUAGAUAUCAAGAGGAACACCGGUGGCGAAGGCAGCUCUCUGGACCACAACUGACGCUGAGGCGCGAAAGCUAGGGGAGCAAACAGG
rnacentral:rRNA from 1 species